GUGACAUUUUUCAGUUUUCACGAUCAUCUACAAGAAAAUUUUAUCCUUCUUCUCUUGCGGUAUUCUCUAUUCUACGCGAACUGUUCACUUUAGUUGAUUACAAAGUGACUUCACCUAAUCUGUAGAAUCAUGGCCAGUCAACAUCUCAAUAGCGUGACUUCACCUACAACCUUCUGUUCGAUUAUUCAAUAUCUUGAUGAUCAGAUAGGCGUUUGGAGUUAUGGAUGCAUCUCAUUGUACCUGAUUUCUUCCUUGGGAAACGCACAAUUUUUCUUUAUUGUCACGAACAUACUCUGUAGACCAAAGAUGUUAACUCUAUCAUGCAUUCCUUCCAACUUCUGUAUGAUAUUUAUUUUUUCUACACCCAAUAUUUUUCUUAAGAAGUUAACCAUCUACUCUGGGAACAAAAAAGCUGAAUAUCAAAUGGAGCAUUCCAAGAAUCAAACUCAAGACCUUCCGCACCCAAAGCAAGAAUCAUAACACUAGAACAAAUGCCCGGUUGUGUAUUUGUUUUGUAAAUUAAUGGUUUUUAGCAGUCUUAAGCAACCGGAUGGAAGUUUGAAGUUAUGGCUGCAUCUAGCUGUACCUGAUUUCGUCUGUGCAAUGAGUGGCACACAAAAAUUUUGUUCCUGUCGCCCACAUACUCAGUAGAUCUAUGCUGGUUACUAGGAGAAAUUUGCAAGCAGCUCCCUUAAUGAAGUGAACCCUCUGCACUCCAACAGGAUGCGAAUUGGAGAGCAAUUUAGAGUUCAAGUUUUAUUAAAUCGAUGAGCCAGUAUAUUGUUUCACACAUUCAAAAUUGACAAAUCAAAGGAGUUGAGAAGAUAGUCUGAUCCAGGUUCAAGAGUAAUAUAGCGCCAAGGCAUUUCUCUAUUCCUAAUGGCUGGUCUACAUUUUUCAUGUGCUUUUCUUAAUGUGCUGUAAAUUACUAUGUUUUUAUAUUGCAUGUGAUUGUGUAAGAUCCAACAUCUUAUGGAUCUUUUUGAACUUUUGACGUUCAAUAUAAGUCUACUGUAUUUAGUCACCUCACUGAUUGUAAUGUUGUAUUGCCACACACCACAUCUUUGGUUGAGAUCUUUGAAAUUCUUCAUAACAAUGAGAAUCGGGUGAAAAACCUUACUGGACCAUUUCUGGCAGUCUUUGUUGAGGCUUCUGCCUGUAUGGUGCUGAGAAUUUUACCCUGUGGUGAAAAUUUUGUGGAAACUUGAAAGGUAUCAGAUCAAUCGGUGUUAAGGUUUUUGGCUGCAAUCCUAAGUACAAAUGAUUCUAUCAUUUCCUUGAUGGAUGCUCUUUAUUUCUUAAUGCUUUCUACUAUACAUGAUAAAUAUUUACUUUGCUUUGAGUUUUUCAGCCAUCCAGUGAAGAAAUGAAGAAGAUAGAUCUACAAGUGGUUAGGCAGUAUCGUAGUUCCAAGCAGAGACUGUAGAGGUUUGCUACAUCAAAAUUUUCCCCAGUUUGUUUAGAAACUUCUGGAUUCAGAGAUAAACUACAAUCUGCUUGUGUCGACUCCGGUAGAGAGAGAAAAACUUCAAGAUACUUUCAAUAUAUCAAUUAGAGAAUCCGUACAAGCAAGGGGUAGAGGAAAUUAAUUCUCCUAGUACGUGGUGAGAAUUAAACCUUAGUCACUAGGGUGAAAGAGAAAGCACUCAACCACUAGACUAACCGAUGAUUCUCAAGAUAGUCGAGGAUCUUAAAGAUUGUUGUGAACCACUGAACCCUAUAAUAUGGGUCAUAAAGGUGACAGUUAGACUGUUACAGUGGUGUGCUUCUGAUAUCAGUGCUACAAAAGAUCUGCUUCUGAUUGAUGGUAUUAUAAUGCUUUUUUGAGCAUUCAAGUGACAGUGAUAAAUGUCAACGUCUAAAAUAUUGUUCUGGCUGCUGAUGUAAUAAGUUGCUGAUGUCAUUUUUUGACUUGUAAUGAUCAUGAAAUUAUAUUAUAUGGAGUAUUAGAUAUUUGUUGUCCAAUGAAUAAUGGAGUAAAAAAGAAAAGUUUGACCAGAAUAGGAGAAGAAAAUUCAAAUGGAACAGUGAUGAUGUAGAUAACAUCUUACUUUUCUUCCUUUAGAAAUGAAUAACUCCCUAUAAAGAUAAGGAGCUUUCCUAGAGCAUUAUAGUUGAUUCUAAAAGCUACAAAAAAGCCCUGAAAUGGAAAUACUGACAGCAAGCUCUGUUGUGAUAUCAGUAGUCUGUAUAGUAGCUGUGACAGGGUUUAUAAGAGUUGUGAACUGGGUUCGGUUGAGGCCAAAAGGAUGGAAAGGUUUCUUAGACAACAAGGUAUUUAUGGUACUUCAUACAAGCUCUUGUUUGGAGAUCUCAAAGAUAUGUCUUCUAUGCGCACUCAGGCCUUAAAAACUCUCAUGAAUGGCUUCUCUAAUGAUUAUUUUCCGCGUGUGGAUCCUUUUCGUCAUCAGCUUAUCACCAAUUUUGAGGUUGAAUCCACAUGAUAAGUAGUAAAGGAGUUUGGCUGGACAAGAAACUACAUCGACACUUUUGGGUUGGACGUUGAUUUUAUUAAGCAAGCAUCAAGAUUGGCAAGCAUGAGCACGGAAUGAAGUCAUGCAAACAUUUGGAAGUAAUGUGCCAGAUUUUGAAGGUGUGAGCCAUUUAAAGACAGUAUCGGCCCGUUUGGUGACCAUGAUAUUGUAUGAAGUCCCCAGACUCUAUCAAGAAGAGUUUGCAAGGAUACAAAUCUUGGUGCAUUCUCAGUUCCUAAGGAUGCAAUAAUUGUUUUCUCAUUGCAAUCUAUUCACCAAGAUCUGGAUAUUUGGGGCGAUGCCAGAGAGGUUUGCCGAUGGGAUUUCCAAGGCGAGCAAUGGGAAUAACACGUUUUUCCCCUUUGGUUAGGGACCAAUAAUAUGUGGGGGAAAAAUUUGCCAUGACAGAAGCAAAAUUGGCAUUGUCUAUGAUUUUAGAAUACUUUUCGUUUGAGCUUUCACCAUCCUAUGUUCACGCACCAAUGAAUACUAUAUUUUUUCGGCCUCAGCAUGGUGCUCAGAUGAUCAUAAGACACAGGUCUUGAUGGUAUGAAAUUGGAGCAUAACUUAGUCUAUUGCAAACUAUCAAUAAGAUUUGAAUUUUGUUUUGUGUUUGAUGGAUGAACAUUUAUGCUGAUACCCCCCUUACCCUGAUAGAUUUGAACUUUGUUACAUAUGUGAUUUCAGAGUCAUGUGGACAAUAGAAUGCUGAAUAUUUGUUUGAAGAGUUUAUUAUAAGAGUUUAUUAUGUAACUAGAGAUAUUAGCACUUAAGAAAUAGUGGAAAUAUGUAUUAGAUUCUAAGAUGUUUAUUAUAAGCUUUAAUUGUGAUA